rnacentral:rRNA from 1 species
GACGAACUGUCCAAACGUUGUUCGGAAUCACUGGGCUUAAAGGGCGCGUAGGCGGUCGAUCAAGUCAGGGGUGAAAUCCUGCAGCUUAACUGUAGAAGUGCCUUUGAUACUGGUCGUCUCGAGGGAGGUAGGGGUGUGUGGAACUUCCAGUGGAGCGGUGAAAUGCGUUGAUAUUGGAAGGAACGCCGGAGGCGAAAGCGACGCACUGGACCUUUUCUGACGCUGAGGUGCGAAAGCGUGGGGAGCAAACAGG